rnacentral:lncRNA from 1 species
GCAGCAGUGCUUCCACCCGCCGCAAGCCUCGCGCGAGAAGCUGGCCUGGCCACCCCGAACUGUCGGAGUCUGCUGGUUCCUGCUACUCCUUCCCUGAUCCCUUGGUCUCACUACCUGCAGGUCUUCGUCCGUGGAUGCCCCGGUAUCGAUUUCGACAACCACAAUUGAUAACUCCCUGCUGGUAUAAAAGGAUGCGUAAGUCACGCGUCCGGGCGUAAAGACCAAAACAGCGUUUCUUUAACUGAAGAGCAAACUUUUAUUUUCGUUUAUUAAAAGCAGAAGGCCAGCGGGAAAGGGUCGCCAAGGGUUGUUGACUUGUCCAUGGGUCUUUCUACUCCAAAUGUUCAGGAUGAGACUGGCCGUGAAAACCGCAAAGCUGUCGCCUAGCCGGCCACUUUUUAAUUGGGAGGCAAACAGACGAAAAGCCAAACAAACGCUCUGGAGCUGACUCUCUUUCUUGGUGUUUUUCCUUCUCAACGAGAAGCCCGCUCUCUGGUGAAGAGGGAAACGGAUCUGCAUGUUCGCUCCUUUUGGGGUCUGGACUGGCGGCGUCCCCAGCGCGUGGGGCGGCCUGGACUGAGCCCGCUCACCACCCUCUUCCCGCGACUCGUGGGUUUUCACGCGCACCCCGUCUCUUCACGGGUCACACCGAGGCCACACGCACCGUGCAAGCUCCAUCCCGCGCUUUUUCGCUCGGGCUCAAGGGUCGGUGCUUGGGUAUUGGGAGCUCUGAGUGCUUUGAAUUGUUCCCAGACUCAGGUUCCCGCGCAGCCAGGGGCGGGAGGGGUAUGGGUUUGGGCCGCCAGGCAGGGAGCUCGGAGAUCCCCCCAAGCCGACCACAAGAAGCACUUGCAGACGCUCAGUUGUCCUUGGGGACACACUGCGCGGCACUGGAGCAAACUCUCAGCCUACCGCUAGUUGUGUGUGUGUGUGUGUGUACGCGCGCGCGCGCUCAGUCCCUAGGGAAACCCUCUAGAGAAAAGGAAGAGCAGAAGGGGGUGGGUAGGGUGGGGGUUCAGGUGGGCCGAGUCCCAGGAGAGUGGGUGUCCCCUUACCACGUUGAUGUGUUAAGAAGGAUCCUACGUGGAAAAUACUGUUUAGUCAAACUUGUGGUCGUGGAUGUACAAGGAGGGAAAGAAGGCAAAAGAAAGGAGACAGAUCUUACUAAAAAAAAACAGUAACAAGAGUUUCCCUCGUGGCUCAGUGGUUAACGAAUCCGACUAGGAACCAUGAAGUUAUGGGUUCCAUCCCUGGCCUUGCUCAGUGGGUUAAGGAUCCGGCGUUGCCGUGAGCUGCGGUGUGGGCUGCAGAUGCAGCUGGGAUCCCGCGUUGCUGUGGCUGUGGUGUAGGCCGGCGGCUAUAGCUCCAAUUAGACCCCUAGCCAGGGAACCUCCAUAUGCCGCAGGAGCGGCCCAAGAAACGGCAAAAAGACAAAACAAAAACAAAAACAAACAAACAAAAAACAGUAACAGCAACAAAAAACUGGGGAAAACGGAGUGGUCAGAUUUUGGAGAGGGACGGGGGUAAGGAUGGAGGCUUUCUUUUUUUUGUUCCUUACAAGCCUGAGCACUUUCUUUCUAAAUCAAAAUACAGAGAGGCCAUCCUUCUUGGAGCCUGGUUAGGUAACUGAGAGAUAGUGCUCAUUAGUUCAUUUUUAAAGCAUUUGCUGAGUUGAGCAAAAUUUUUAGAAGGUUCUUUCUCACCAGCCUCUGCUUGAGCUCAGCUCAUCUUGAUUUAAAGCAGAUUUGAGAUAAAAAUUUCAGAAGAGAAAAUGUGUGUACAUAUAUGCACAUGCGACAGAGUUUAUAUUCCCUCUAGUCUAUAUCUAAGACAAGCAAUUCUACAGUAAAUUAUAGAUGAUGGCUGAUUUUUUUUUUUUCCUCUAGUAUUAUACUGUCACCAGAGAGAAGCUCCUGGCUAUCUUUCUCUCCACUCCCCAUUAAUAAGUCUAAGAUAAAUCUCAUACCAUUGUGGCUCUUUCCGGCUUGCUUUCCCACACAUGAACACACACACAGAAUAUACAUUAUGUGCAGACUUUUCCCUAAUCACUCUGUAAUGUAUCAUUUAUAAAUCCAUGUUUAUUCAAGUUUCCAUUGAAAUUUGGAACAUGUUGAGUACCUAACUUUUGUUCUUCGUGGUGUGUGCAUUUGAUCAAGGAUCUUCCAUAAGCCAAUAAAAUGAUUAUCUUUACUUC